UGUCUCAAUGUCAGAUGAUCAGUUCAGACUAUAAAGACUGACAUAAUGAUAAAAAAUGUAUCUUUGCACAUUGACAUGUUCUGACGCUGACACUUUAUACCUACUGACCUACAGGCUCAUCACCACAGGAACAUUUUGGUGUCCGAUGACUGUUACUGUUACAAGUAAUGCUCUACCAGUCAUGUGACUGUUAAAGUUACUAGUCAUGUUCUACCAGUCACAUGACUACUAGAAUCACCUUUGUUGUUAAAGCCCAAUCAUAUGCCUUCAGAUGUUUGUUGAUGUUGGAGAGUGGUUGCAGCCAAAAACAGAUCAGAAAAGAGGAAGGAAAACAAGAAUUAUACAAAAAUUACAGUGUAGAUUUAUAUGAGUUAAAGAUAUCAAUAAUGAAAUGUUGACAGUCUGGCCAGGAUUAUGGCUGGUAUCAUACACGGAAUAAAAGUACAAUGUUCAGGUGUAUCACCAAGGGUGAAGGCAGGUAUACGCUUUACAGAUUGUCACAGCGCCCCCUUGUGGACACACACUGAGGUGAUGAUGCCUUCAGAAACAUUGUCUCUCCAGAUCUUCUCCUUUGUCGUCUCUUGUUCCUCUGUGUUUAAACUCAAAGAAAUGAUGGAAUGUCGGUGUGUGCAUAUAUAAACAUAGGAGGUCAACACGCCACCUCGUGGUGCUCAUGUGUUUCCAUACUGUCAACGCUUUAAUGCAGAACCUCGAAGACCGGAUGAAAGCACUUGUUCGAUUUCACGUUCUGCUUGAAGGGAGCAUGUGGGUGUCUGAGGAGGUAUUUCAUUCAGACUAACAGCGCCCUCCUCAGUCAGCUGUGUUUAAAGCAUGUUAAAGCUGGGCUCGACCUUUCUAGGAGCUACAGCGCCAUCCACUGGCUGUUUUGGCAAUUGAAUUUAAUCACUGAAUGUCUGCACAUUGAUGUUCAUACUGAUGCUAUAUAACUUCACAGGUGUCAUAUAGGGACAGGUGUGAUGACAGGUGUCAUAUAGGGACAGGUGUGAUGACAGGUGCCAUAUAGGGACAGGUCCCAUAUAGGGACAGGUGUGAUGACAGGUGUCAUAUAGGGACAGGUCCCAUAUAGGGACAGGCGUGAUGACAGGUGCCAUAUAGGGACAGGUCCCAUAUAGGGACAGGUGUGAUGACAGGUGUCAUAUAGGGACAGGUCCCAUAUAGGGACAGGUGUGAUGACAGGUGCCAUAUAGGGACAGGUCCCAUAUAGGGACAGGUGUGAUGACAGGUGCCAUAUAGGGACAGGUCCCAUAUAGGGACAGGUAUGAUGACAGGUGUCAUAUAGGGACAGGUGUGAUGACAGGUGCCAUAUAGGGACAGGUCCCAUAUAGGGACAGGUAUGAUGACAGGUGUCAUAUAGGGACAGGUCCCAUAUAGGGACAGGUAUGAUGACAGGUGUCAUAUAGGGACAGGUCCCAUAUAGGGACAGGUAUGAUGACAGGUGUCAUAUAGGGACAGGUCCCAUAUAGGGACAGGUGUGAUGACAGGGGUCACCAUAGCCAUCCCUAUAUGACAGGUAAUUGAAUUAAAGGAACAAACGAAGACAAAAACAUGAGCAGAGUUUCAGGGAGGCGUUCAUCACUCUGACAUCACUGUGGUAAUGAUUAUAAUAAUCAAUAUUGAUGCUGAUGUUUUUAUAUUCUUACUGACAUCACGUUCUUGAAACACCUGUCCUGCAGGUAAAAGAGAAAUCAUAACUAAACAUUUCUGUUUAUACUGUAAAGAUUGAAUUGAAACAUGAUCUAACAUGUCUGUUUUCAUCGUCUAAACUUUUAUGUUCAUUUACAUCCUCAGCUCCAAAAAAGCUUGGUCGCAGUGUAAAAUGUGAAUAAAGUCCAUGAUUGUCAAAUCUCA